rnacentral:lncRNA from 1 species
UCCAAGUGGCUCUACCUAGCGGUAGAGGAAGGUCCGCUCUCCACUGGAAUCCGAUUUAGUACUAGAGGGAGGCUGCUCUGAAAAUCAAAAACAAAGAAAAUUCAGCAACGCUGAGUAGGAACCCCAAAAGUCAAAUCAAGAUGAAUACAUGAUCAAAAUUCAAUCAAUCAUCCCAUUGGCGUAUAUCAAAUACCCGAAGGAGCACUCCCCCAACAGCGGAU